UACGUAGGGGGCAAGCGUUGUCCGGAAUCAUUGGGCGUAAAGCGCGUGUAGGCGGCUCGAUAAGUCUGCUGUAAAAGUCCAGGGCUCAACCCUGGAAAGCCGGUGGAAACUGUCGAGCUAGAGUCCGGAAGAGGCGAGUGGAAUUCCUGGUGUAGCGGUGAAAUGCGUAGAUAUCAGGAGGAACACCUGCGGUGUAGACGGCUUUCUGGUCCGACACCGACGUUCAGGCACGAAAGCGUGGGGAGCAAACAGG
rnacentral:rRNA from 1 species